UUGACGGGGGCCCGCACAAGCGGCGGAGCAUGCGGAUUAAUUCGAUGCAACGCGAAGAACCUUACCUGGGUUUGACAUGGAUUGGUAACGGUCAGAGAUGGCCGCCCCCCUUUGUGGGCCGGUUCACAGGUGGUGCAUGGCUGUCGUCAGCUCGUGUCGUGAGAUGUUGGGUUAAGUCCCGCAACGAGCGCAACCCUCGUCCACUGUUGCCAGCAUUUGGUUGGGGACUCAGUGGAGACCGCCGGGGUCAACUCGGAGGAAGGUGGGGAUGACGUCAAGUCAUCAUGCCCCUUAUGUCCAGGGCUUCACGCAUGCUACAAUGGCCGGUACAAUGAGUGGCGACAUCGUGAGGUGGAGCGAAUCUCAAAAAGCCGGUCUCAGUUCGGAUUGGGGUCUGCAACUCGACCCCAUGAAGUCGGAGUCGCUAGUAAUCGCAGAUCAACAACGCUGCGGUGAAUACG
rnacentral:rRNA from 1 species